rnacentral:rRNA from 1 species
CAGAGGAACUUGCUCCUUGGGUGGCGAGUGGCGGACGGGUGAGUAAUGCAUCGGGAUCUACCCUGACGUGGGGGAUAACCUCGGGAAACCGGGACUAAUACCGCAUACGUCCUACGGGAGAAAGCGGGGGACCUUUUAGGCCUCGCGCGGCAGGACGAACCGAUGUGCGAUUAGCUAGUUGGCGGGGUAAUGGCCCACCAAGGCGACGAUCGCUAGCUGGUCUGAGAGGAUGAUCAGCCACACUGGGACUGAGACACGGCCCAGACUCCUACGGGAGGCAGCAGUGGGGAAUAUUGGACAAUGGGCGCAAGCCUGAUCCAGCAAUGCCGCGUGUGUGAAGAAGGCCUUCGGGUUGUAAAGCACUUUUAUCAGGAGCGAAAUCUGCAUGCUUAAUACGUGUGCAGUCUGACGGUACCUGAGGAAUAAGCACCGGCUAACUUCGUGCCAGCAGCCGCGGUAAUACGAAGGGUGCAAGCGUUAAUCGGAAUUACUGGGCGUAAAGGGUGCGUAGGCGGUUCGUUAAGUCUGUCGUGAAAUCCCCGGGCUCAACCUGGGAAUGGCGAUGGAUACUGGCGAGCUAGAGUGUGUCAGAGGAUGGUGGAAUUCCCGGUGUAGCGGUGUAAUGC